rnacentral:sRNA from 1 species
AUAUUCUCCGAAAAGGGGGGGAUGAGAACCCCCGACCGGGGUUCGACAACUGGCAACGCCAGUUGGACAGACCGCGAGCCUGCGAGCGGGCUGCCCCGCAGGGGCGAGCGAAGCGAGUCAAUCCCCCCCUCACCGCCA